rnacentral:rRNA from 1 species
CUACGGGUCGCACCAGUGAGGAAUAUUGCACAAUGGGGGGAACCCUGAUGCAGCAACGCCGCGUGGAGGAUGACGCAUUUCGGUGUGUAAACUCCUUUUAUAUGUCAAGAAAAUGACGGUAGCAUAUGAAUAAGCGCCGGCUAACUCCGUGCCAGCAGCCGCGGUAAUACGGAGGGCGCAAGCGUUACUCGGAAUCACUGGGCGUAAAGGACGCGUAGGCGGGUUGAAAAGUCAGGUGUGAAAGCCUACAGCUUAACUGUAGAACUGCACUUGAAACUCUCAAUCUAGAGUAUGGGAGGGGCAGAUGGAAUUAGUGGUGUAGGGGUAAAAUCCGUAGAUAUUACUAGGAAUACCUAAAGCGAAGGCGAUCUGCUGGAACAUUACUGACGCUAAGGCGUGAAAGCGUGGGGAGCAAACAGGAUUAGAUACCCCUGUAGUC